rnacentral:rRNA from 1 species
AUUGAACGCUGGCGGAAUGCUUUACACAUGCAAGUCGAACGGCAGCACGGACUUCGGUCUGGUGGCGAGUGGCGAACGGGUGAGUAAUGUAUCGGAACGUGCCCAGUCGUGGGGGAUAACGUAGUGAAAAUUACGCUAAUACCGCAUACGAUCUAUGGAUGAAAGCGGGGGAUCGCAAGACCUCGCGCGAUUGGAGCGGCCGAUAUCAGAUUAGGUAGUUGGUGGGGUAAAGGCCCACCAAGCCAACGAUCUGUAGCUGGUCUGAGAGGACGACCAGCCACACUGGAAAUGAGACACGGUCCAGCAUCAUACGGGAGGCAGCAGUGGGGAAUUUUGGACAAUGGGCGAAAGCCUGAUCCAGCCAUUCCGCGUGCAGGAUGAAGGCCCUCGGGUUGUAAACUGCUUUUGUACAGAACGAAAAGGUUUCUACUAAUACUAGGGGCUCAUGACGGUACUGUAAGAAUAAGCACCGGCUAACUACGUGCCAGCCGCCGCCGUAA